rnacentral:rRNA from 1 species
AGAGUUUGAUCAUGGCUCAGAUUGAACGCUGGCGGCAGGCCUAACACAUGCAAGUCGAACGGUAACAGGAAGCAGCUUGCUGCUUCGCUGACGAGUGGCGGACGGGUGAGUAAUGUCUGGGAAACUGCCUGAUGGAGGGGGAUAACUACUGGAAACGGUAGCUAAUACCGCAUAACGUCGCAAGACCAAAGAGGGGGACCUUCGGGCCUCUUGCCAUCGGAUGUGCCCAGAUGGGAUUAGCUAGUAGGUGGGGUAACGGCUCACCUAGGCGACGAUCCCUAGCUGGUCUGAGAGGAUGACCAGCCACACUGGAACUGAGACACGGUCCAGACUCCUACGGGAGGCAGCAGUGGGGAAUAUUGCACAAUGGGCGCAAGCCUGAUGCAGCCAUGCCGCGUGUAUGAAGAAGGCCUUCGGGUUGUAAAGUACUUUCAGCGGGGAGGAAGGGAGUAAAGUUAAUACCUUUGCUCAUUGACGUUACCCGCAGAAGAAGCACCGGCUAACUCCGUGCCAGCAGCCGCGGUAAUACGGAGGGUGCAAGCGUUAAUCGGAAUUACUGGGCGUAAAGCGCACGCAGGCGGUUUGUUAAGUCAGAUGUGAAAUCCCCGGGCUCAACCUGGGAACUGCAUCUGAUACUGGCAAGCUUGAGUCUCGUAGAGGGGGGUAGAAUUCCAGGUGUAGCGGUGAAAUGCGUAGAGAUCUGGAGGAAUACCGGUGGCGAAGGCGGCCCCCUGGACGAAGACUGACGCUCAGGUGCGAAAGCGUGGGGGAGCAAACAGGAUUAGAUACCCUGGUAGUCC